rnacentral:rRNA from 1 species
AUACGGAGGAUGCGAGCGUUAUCCGGAUUUAUUGGGUUUAAAGGGUGCGUAGGCUGUGCGUUAAGUCAGGGGUGAAAUGCCGUCGCUCAACGACGGAGCUGCCCUUGAUACUGGCGUGCUGGAGUACGGAUGCCGUUGGAGGAAUGAGUGGUGUAGCGGUGAAAUGCUUAGAUAUCACUCAGAACACCGAUUGCGAAGGCAUCUGACGAAUCCGUCACUGACGCUGAGGCACGAAAGCGUGGGGAUAGAACAGGAUUAGAUACCCUGGUAUUCCACGCCGUAAACGAUGAUGACUAACCGUCGGCGAUAGACAGCCGGUGGCCAAGCGAAAGCGAUAAGUCAUCCACCUGGGGAGUACGUCGGCAACGAUGAAACUCGAAUGAAUUGACGGGG